ensembl:lncRNA
CUUUUUUUCAUCAAAUUCCAAACAGACACGUGUCCUGUGUACAUAUGUAGGAAUCUGGAGAACAGAUUUCAACUGCAACAAAAUGUAAAGCAAUGAAAACCAGAACGUCAUGCAUUCAGUCUGAUUGGGAUGUAUUUGUCCUGAAUUUAGCUGCAGGUUUUUCUGCUCCAUGUCUGGAUUCUUUGGGUUACAGUGAGAAGAAGUUUCCUUGUUGCUGCUGUUGGGAUGGUGACCCUGUUUCACCGCCAGGACUUCAAUAAAGUGGACAGUUAGAAGUGAAAGAGCUUCAGCUGCUCAGAGCAGCGGCUCAGGUUCCUCCUCUAAUUAUCCAAUCAGCAGGCGGCUCCAGGUGUUCAGCAGCUUUAUCAUCCUCAGGUGAGGCGGCAGUCUGCAGCAGCUUCCAGCCGCUCUUCGGUGCUUCCCGGCGGGCAGAGAGCAGCGCAGUGGACCGGAGCAUGUCGGCGGUUAACAGACGGAUGACGAUGGCCUGGGUUUGGCCCGCUUUGGUGCUUCUAGCCCGGCUCACCACGGCAGAGGAACCGCGUCGGGACGCACACGGGGCUUUGGCCGGCUCCAAGGCGCUGAUCUCGGACUCCGAGCCGCCGAUGGAGACCCGCAGCGGGGGAGGCCUCCUGCCGGUGCUGGUGUGGAAGUUUGUGAAAGAUGCUGCAGAUGCAUCAGAUUUGGGCCGACCGCAGUUUCUCUGCAGCGACACGUCACUCUCUGUUCGCUUGUCGCUCAUCCGAUACUCUGACCUGCAUCUGCAAGGCUGCCCUCUAGUUGGCGCUAACAGACCCAGGGUUCAGCUGCAGAGUGACUCGCCUUCAACCGAGAACUGACAGCAGCACAGGAACAGGGUUUACAGCACAUCGGCUCCACGGAUCAUCUUCUGCUGCAGAAUGGUUGCGUCUAGCCUUGAACUGCAGCUCAGCAGGUUCUUGUGGUUUGAUCUGAGCACUGGAACCCUUCACCCUCCACUGCUGCUCUGCUGAAGCCUUCUUCACUGUUCUGAGACCUGCUGAUAUCUGUUCACUCUACGUCGAUCAGUGCUGAGAGUUGUGGACGAUGCCUUUUCUUCUGACUUCAUUCAGUUUAUUAAUUGUUUGGGACUUGAAGGCGGUCGUUCCUGGGUGAGUACAUCUACCAACGCGUUUGUCCUGUGGAUGUUGCUCAUGAAUGCACCUGUGCUAUGGCUGCUGGUCAACCUGUUCAACCACCAUUCAUCUGGCACAGGACAUAAACCUGACCUACCCAGAGACUUACUUCCACUUCACAGCCUUCUAGCUUUGUACAAAUGCUUCACAUUCAGGUGUUGCUUGGUUUCAACAUAUCCAGUGUCUGGUUCACUGUGUAAUGUUCCAAGGCAGAGAUUGUUUGUCUUAUUAUUGCUCUUAUCAGGUAAUGUGCAGCCUAACCCUGGUUCAGACACCAUCUGAUUUUAAAUCCCUGUCUGGUCUUAAAAUGGUUUAUCUUAAUGUGUGCGGCUUGUUAUCCCAGACGGACAUGAUCAGGAUUUGGGUUUAAUCAACAGAUGCAGAUAUUGUUGUAUUUUCUGAAACUCUGCCGACAGACUCUAUUACGAUAAAGAUAUUAACAUGAAAGAAUGUUUAUCGUACCGACAAGCCUAAGAAAGGUGGAGGUGUUGCUACUUUUGUUAAAUCAAGCUUUAAAGCCUCAGUAGUUCUGAGUCCAUCUGCAAACAGCUGGAAUCUUUGGUACUGAAUGUGGAAACUGUUAAAGUCCUUUAUGACUGCUGUUGGGUGCUACUGGCCUCCAUCUGCCUAAAGGAAGCGUUCCAAUCUUUAAAGCACCUUUUGUCCAGAAUAAACUAUAUUGGAAGAAAAUGGGACUAAUCCCUGAGGGAGAGAUCAUUUGGCUGUUCUUUACAGUUUGUAAAUAAACAUGCCCCAUUAAGGAGAUCCAGGGAAAAGAGGUGACAACAUCCCUGUUUCUGCCCAGAGGUGGCAGAUAUUUAUGAGCAUAACCUGAUUUGGACCAAGACAAGGAAACCAGGCUGUAUCCCUGACUGGUCUGCUUUCAGACAACUAAAAAAUAAAUGCCCUUCUGUAAUCAAGAACGCCAAAUCAGAGUACAGGGGGUCCUCGGUUUACGACAUCGACUUACAGCGCCACAUCAGAACUGGUUAUGUGGAACUAGUUGACAAGCGGAUCGGAUGAAUACGUCGUCACACAGCGCUAUCAGACGGCUUUGUUUCCAUUCUGUGGUUGUACUCCACCUUGGAUUGUGCUACAUUCACUAACUUUUUGUCCUUCAUUAUGGCUCCCAGCGUAAGUCAGACUCUUCUGAUUCUUGGAAGAAGAGGAAAGCCAUCUCCAUGGAAGUGAAAAUAGAAUAAAAUGCUGUGAACAGGAAGAAACACCGACCAACAUGGGUCAAGUUGUAAAAACAGGUCAACAUAUUGUAGUGACCCUCUGUGAUGAAUGAGUGAGACUUUAUCUGGUUCUCUGCUGGUUUAUUGAACCUUCACACAGGAUACUGUGGGCCGUAGCCAACGCCAGAAUAACUAGAAAAACCCCAUAACUUAGCUCCAGAAUUAGCCGCCGUUCCCAGCUCUCUCUACUGCUGACUCUCAGCCAAUCAGAGGUGAGCUAACUAAACAUGGCACGUUCACUGAUAUUAGGUAAAUCUGGAACUGAACAAUAAGCAUUGAAACCUCAACAACAAUACCAGUCUGUUACAAUAUUCUGUUAUCUUCUAGUAAAAUGAUUCAUACAUGCAUGAAAGUCAUUGGUAUUCAUGACUUUAUGAAGAACUGAUCGAUAUCGUGAUGCAUGGAACGGCUUUGCUUACAUUUUCACCGGAAUUCCGACUUGCGGUGAAAAUCGACUCGCAUAGAUCAGUAGGAACACAACUCCAACGUAAGUCGAGGACCUCCUGUACUAAUUGUCACCACUGAGAACCUGAAUAAUCCACAGGAACUGUGGAAGGUUGUUGAUUUUCUUUCUGUGAGCACCAGUUCUCAGGCUCUACCUGCCUAUGUUUUAAAGGAUUCUCUUCCUGUCUAUGAUAGAAUGGAGGUAUUAAAUUGUUUCAGUGAGCAUUUUAUGUCUUCUGGCUCUUUCUUUGACUUGGUGGGAGUUGUCUCUGGGAAACCCUGCACAGACCUCCCAGUGUUCACUGAUGAGCCUUUUAACCCUCAGGAGCCUAGUGACGUGCCGGCGUCAAAAAACCAGAGUUAU